UUAGGUUAUGUUUUACUAUUAUUACAUCUUGUUUCUACUCACCCUUAGUUUCCUGUGUCGUUUUUAGUCACCUUUUGUUCAUUUUUCAUGCUUCAUCAUG